rfam:Salmo salar isolate Sally breed double haploid chromosome ssa11, whole genome shotgun sequence.
UACACGCAUCAUUGUAAGUCACUUUGGAUAAAAGAGUCUGCUAAAUGGCAUAUC